UACGGAGGGUGCAAGCGUUAUCCGGAUUCACUGGGUUUAAAGGGUGCGUAGGUGGGUUGGUAAGUCAGUGGUGAAAUCCCCGAGCUUAACUUGGGAACUGCCAUUGAUACUAUUAAUCUUGAAUACCGUGGAGGUUAGCGGAAUAUGUCAUGUAGCGGUGAAAUGCUUAGAUAUGACAUAGAACACCAAUUGCGAAGGCAGCGGGCUACACGAAUAUUGACACUGAUGCACGAAAGCGUGGGGAUCAAACAGG
rnacentral:rRNA from 1 species